rnacentral:tRNA from 1 species
CGCCGGCCGUGGCCUGGGCGAGGUGGCCGCCCGUGGCCUGGGCGAGGUCGCCGGCGGUGGCUUGGACGAGAUCGCCGCCCGUGGCUUGGGU